CCUACGGGAGGCAGCAGUGGGGAAUAUUGGACAAUGGGCGAAAGCCUGAUCCAGCCAUGCCACGUGUGUGAAGAAGGCCUUCGGGUUGUAAAGCACUUUCAGUGGGGAAGAAAGCCUUGGGGCUAAUACCCUCGAGGAAGGACAUCACCCACAGAAGAAGCACCGGCUAACUCCGUGCCAGCAGCCGCGGUAAUACGGAGGGUGCGAGCGUUAAUCGGAAUUACUGGGCGUAAAGCGCGCGUAGGCGGUCUGAUAAGCCGGUUGUGAAAGCCCCGGGCUCAACCUGGGAACGGCAUCCGGAACUGUCAGGCUAGAGUGCAGGAGAGGAAGGUAGAAUUCCCGGUGUAGCGGUGAAAUGCGUAGAGAUCGGGAGGAAUACCAGUGGCGAAGGCGGCCUUCUGGACUGACACUGACGCUGAGGUGCGAAAGCGUGGGUAGCAAACAGGAUUAGAUACCCCUGUAGUC
rnacentral:rRNA from 1 species